rnacentral:rRNA from 1 species
UACGUAGGGGGCGAGCGUUGUCCGGAAUCAUUGGGCGUAAAGCGCGCGUAGGCGGCCCGGUAAGUCCGUUGUAAAAGUCAAAGGCUCAACCUUUGAAAGCCGAUGGAUACUGCCGGGCUAGAAUCCGGAAGAGGCGAGUGGAAUUCCUGGUGUAGCGGUGGAAUGCGCAGAUAUCAGGAGGAACACCAAUAGCGAAGGCAGCUCGCUGGGACGGUACUGACGCUGAGACGCGAAAGCGUGGGGAGCGAACAGG